UACGAUAUUGAAAAAUGUUGA
rnacentral:piRNA from 1 species